UACGUAGGUGGCAAGCGUUGUUCGGAAUUACUGGGCGUAAAGGGCGCGUAGGCGGCUUUUUAAGUCAGACGUGAAAUCCCUCGGCUUAACCGGGGAACUGCGUCCGAUACUGGUUGGCUUGAGUUUGGGAGAGGGAUGCGGAAUUCCAGGUGUAGCGGUGAAAUGCGUAGAUAUCGGGAGGAACACCAAUGGCGAAGGCAGCUCGCUGGGACGGUACUGACGCUGAGACGCGAAAGCGUGGGGAGCAAACAGG
rnacentral:rRNA from 1 species